GACGUAGGGCGCGAGCGUUGUCCGGAUUUAUUGGGCGUAAAGAGCUUGUAGGCGGUUUGUCGCGUCUGCUGUGAAAAUCCGGGGCUCAACCCCGGACUUGCAGUGGGUACGGGCAGACUGGAGUGUGGUAGGGGAGACUGGAAUUCCUGGUGUAGCGGUGGAAUGCGCAGAUAUCAGGAGGAACACCGAUGGCGAAGGCAGGUCUCUGGGCCACUACUGACGCUGAGAAGCGAAAGCAUGGGGGAGCGAACAGG
rnacentral:rRNA from 1 species